CCUACGGGGGGCAGCAAUUAGGAAUCUUGCACAAUGGACGAAAGUCUGAUGCAGCGACGCCGCGUGAGGGAUGAAAUUCUUCGGAAUGUAAACCUCUUUUAUUUGGGAAGCGGUACCAAAUGAAUAAGCCCCGGCUAACUACGUGCCAGCAGCCGCGGUAAUACGUAGGGGGCGAGCGUUGUCCGAAUUUACUGGGCGUAAAGAGCAUUAGGCGGAUCCUUAAGUGAGAGGUGAAAGGUUAGGGCUCAACCCGAACACUGCCUUUCAUACUGGGGAUCUUGAGUACGGGAGAGGCGAGUGGAAUUUCUGGUGUAGCGGUGAAAUGCGUAGAUAUCAGAAGGAACACCCAUGGCGAAGGCAGCUCGCUGGCCUGUACUGACGCUGAGUGCGAAAGCGUGGGGAGCAAACAGGAUUAGAUACCCUUGUAGUC
rnacentral:rRNA from 1 species